AGGACGAACGCUGGCGGCGUGCUUAACACAUGCAAGUCGAACGAUGAUGCCCAGCUUGCUCUGUGGAUUAGUGGCGAACGGGUGAGUAACACGUGAGUAACCUGCCCUUGACUCUGGGAUAAGCACUGGAAACGGUGUCUAAUACCGGAUACGAGCUUCAGCCGCAUGGCUAGGAGUUGGAAAGAAUUUCGGUCAAGGAUGGACUCGCGGCCUAUCAGGUAGUUGGUGAGGUAAUGGCCCACCAAGCCUACGACGGGUAGCCGGCCUGAGAGGGUGACCGGCCACACUGGGACUGAGACACGGCCCAGACUCCUACGGGAGGCAGCAGUGGGGAAUAUUGCACAAUGGGCGCAAGCCUGAUGCAGCAACGCCGCGUGAGGGACGACGGCCUUCGGGUUGUAACCUCUUUAGUAGGAGAAGCGAAAGUGACGGUACUGCAGAAAAGCACCGGCUAACUACGCGCCAGCAGCCGCGGU
rnacentral:rRNA from 1 species